UUUCUCACACUUUCUACAACACUGUUAGUUAGCUGUGAUUGUUUUUGUUUGUUGCUCUCACUACGAGCAGGUGCUGUUUUAAAACGUACGUUCAGGCUGAAAAUUGAACCGUGGUGUUGUAUCGGGAGAGGCAGUGACUUUACCAGUGAAACCACAGAAGAAAGAGGAGGUAGCAUGAUGUGGCCAUUGUGACGGCAGAAAAUAGUUUUCUUCUUAUACUUAAAGUCAUUUAUGAAACAGAUUUCCACGACAGCCAUCCCUGGCAUCUUGGUAAGAGGAGGAUAAAAAGAAGGAGAAGUAGGAGAGCAACGCAG